rnacentral:rRNA from 1 species
AACGAACGCUGGCGGCAGGCUUAACACAUGCAAGUCGAACGCAUCCUUCGGGGUGAGUGGCAGACGGAUGAGUAGCGCGUGGGAACGUGCCCUUCAGUUCGGGAUAACCCAGGGAAACUUGGGCUAAUACCGGAUACGUGCGAGAGCAGAAAGAUUUAUCGCUGAAGGAUCGGCCCGCGUCUGAUUAGCUAGUUGGUGGGGUAAUGGCCCACCAAGGCGACGAUCAGUAGCUGGUCUGAGAGGAUGAUCAGCCACAUUGGGACUGAGACACGGCCCAAACUCCUACGGGAGGCAGCAGUGGGGAAUAUUGGACAAUGGGCGCAAGCUUGAUCCAGCCAUGCCGCGUGAGUGAUGAAGGCCUUAGGGUUGUAAAGCUCUUUCAGUGGGGACGAUAAUGACGGUACCCGCAGAAGAAGCCCCGGCUAACUACGUGCCAGCCGCCGCAGUAA